UUUUUUUUUUCUUUCCCCAAGAAUCUUAUUUUAAGGCUGUUUUCCUCCCUCUCCCCUGCUCCAGGUCUGCUUUGCCUUGUGUUUGCCCACUGGAGAUGGCACAGGUGCCCCGGGGUGCUGUCUCCUGCCCGGGGGGAUGGAGCCCAGGAGCUCUGCUGGACACAGGAGGGUCCCCAGGGAACGGGCUCAGCCCCUGGAAGGCGUCUGCACCCUGGGAAGAUGUUCCUUAAGGGCUCCUGGGACUUCUGCUUCCCCUCUGCAAGAGCUAAACGCAGCCAAAGCAGGGUCACCAGAGCCCUGUGUGACAGGAGUGCCACAGAGACAGGCUGAGCUGCUCUCCCACACCCCAUUCCCUCCAGGAAGGGCUCAGCCUGUGCUGUCACUGCUCACAGAGCAACGGAGGGACUGGGGGCGUGAAAUGCCCCAGGUGGCCUCAGAAGUGGGAUUCUCCUUCUCCUCAGAAGUGGGAUUCUCCUUCUCUUCAGAAAAUUGGAAUUUGGGCACAAACUGCUGUGUUUUCAUCCAGGGCUCACAUAAUCGUCAUAAUUUAAAUCCCAAACUGAGCAACAAUCAGCAUCUUUCCCAAAUAUAUAAGUUCACUUACGUAUGUUUUCUCCUUUGCGUUUCCUCUCAUGUCUCACCACCAGAGGAACAUAGCAGGUCUGAGUGGAUUUUGGAGACCUUUCCCCCCGGGGAUAGGCAGCUGGAGCUGGAAAGCCUGGCUUGGGGAGCGACUUGUGGUGGGAUGAGGCAGGAAUUCCAGGGCUGCCCUGCGUGGGGUCAGAGUCCUGGCAAACAUUCCUUCAGAUGAGGAACGAAAUGAUCACAUCAUUUUCCCUGCAGCCUCACCUCGCCCAACCUCGAGAGCACCGGGGGUGGAAGAGCAGCUCUGUUCUGCUUCCCACAGGCGCCGUUUCAUGUGUGGCCUCUUUCCCCCAGCCCUGCUCUGGAUGCAGCACUAAAAAUGGGCUGCUGCUCAUCGCCGUGGUGCCCAGGCGCUUCCCAGCAUCCAGGAAGGUUUGUAAACCUUGGGAAACAGGGAGGGUAUUUUAUCAGCAUUGUUUUCCAGGUGCUUGGAGAGCAGGUUGGGGUUGGUGACCUCUCAUCUGCCUAAAAUGCACCUGGCUUGUUGGGUUAUUAGAGCAGCAAAGAGGCAGGAAGCUGCUCCCAAACUCCUCCUUUCCAGCAAACAAAAUAUCCGUGAUUGGACUGCUCUGAGGAUGACACACAAGUUAAAAAAAAAACAUAACAAAACAAAACAAGAAAAAAAAAAAAAACCACAAGAAGAAUGAAAAAAAAACCCCAAAAUUGUGGCAUUUCUAUUCUUUCCAUCCCAAACACUCAGCUAACAGGCAGCAUUUAUAAAAUUAUGGAAUGGCUUGUGUUGGGAGGGGCCUUCAAAGGACAUCUACUCCCACCCCUGCCAUGGCAGGGACACCUCCCACUGUCCCACUGUCCCAGGCUGCUCCAAGCCCUGGCUAAUAUGUCCUUUUACACUGCCAGGGAUCCAGGGGCAGCCACAGCUGCUCUGGGCAAAUCUCCCUGUGUCUCUGAUGAGAGUGUUUUGGGGUGCAAGUUCAUUCCCUGAAUUUGGACCCCACACCAACCCUCAGCAUUUCCAUGGCCAUAUUAGUGUCUUGAAGCUUUUCCAGCAUUUUCUUGCUCCCAGGGCAUUUUGGAAGUCUCAGUGCUCCUGCCUCAGUCUCAGCAGGGAGCUGAGCCACCCAACAUCCCAGCAAUCCUUGAGGCCAGGAGAGUCAGACCCAGUGGAAAUAUCAGCAUUUUUCCAAAUUUAAAUUUUUUUUUUUUUUUUUUUUUUUUUUUUUGCCUCAGGAGGAGUGGAAAGACAAAAACUGUGUGUUCAACAGAAAAAAAAAAAAAAAAAAAAAAAAAAA
rnacentral:lncRNA from 1 species